GCGCGUUCCACAAUGGCGUCUUUGAGCAGCAGCGCGCGCUCCCGACCUCGGCAUUCCUAAACAAGGAGCCAUGACUUGUCAACAAAUACGACGACAGGACAGCGGAGAGCAGAGACCUCGCGCUGAGGCAGCAGGGGCACUACCGGUGCAGCAGCAAUUGCCACCGCGUAGCGUUCCUGCCUUCGACGACGCGGAGGAAUCUCUGUUUGUCUUUCCCCCGAAACUCUAUGCCUUAAGCGCUGCUGUGUCUGGAGCACCCGACCCGAGAUGUCUUCCGAUGCCACCUGCUUCCUGGUUGGUGGAUACGAAGUUGGCGCGACGAAGAAAAAGGUGUCUGUCAUGGCCGCCUCUUCAAUGACAACGAUGUUUGUCGACGCCGGCUGGCUGAAGAUUAAAGUUUUUGCUUGCAUAAGUGCUAAAUAAAAAUUUCUCAUCCUAUG